AUUGAACGCUGGCGGCAGGCCUAACACAUGCAAGUCGAGCGGGGUUUUCGGACCUAGCGGCGGACGGGGGAGUAAUGCGUAGGAAGCUACCCGAUAGAGGGGGAUACCAGUUGGAAACGACUGUAAUACCGCAUAAUGUCUACGGACCAAAGUGUGGGACCUUCGGGCCACAUGCUAUCGGAUGCGCCUACGUGGGAUUAGCUAGUUGGUGAGGUAAUGGCUCACCAAGGCGACGAUCCCUAGGUGGUUUGAGAGGAUGAUCAGCCACAAUGGAACUGAGACACGGUCCAGACUCCUACGGGAGGCAGCAGUGGGGAAUAUUGGACAAUGGGCGCAAGCCUGAUCCAGCCAUGCCGCGUGUGUGAAGAAGGCCUUCGGGUUGUAAAGCACUUUCAGUAGGGAGGAAGCGUUGUGUGUUAAUAGUACACAGCGUUGACGUUACCUACAGAAGAAGCACCGGCUAACUCUGUGCCAGCAGCCGCCGUAAAAC
rnacentral:rRNA from 1 species